UACGAAGGGUGCAAACGUUGCUCGGAAUUAUUGGGCGUAAAGCGCACGUAGGCGGCAUUGCAAGUCGGAUGUGAAAUCUUAUGGCUUAACCAUAAAAGUGCAUCCGAAACUGCAGUGCUUGAGUACUUAAGAGGAUCGCGGAAUUCCCGGUGUAGAGGUGAAAUUCGUAGAUAUCGGGAGGAACACCAGUGGCGAAGGCGGCGAUCUGGGAAGAUACUGACGCUGAGGUGCGAAAGCGUGGGAGCAACGGG
rnacentral:rRNA from 1 species